rnacentral:rRNA from 1 species
GCAUUCACUUUAAAUAGGGCUCCGUCGAAAUCCGUUGAGACGACACCGUAUGAAUUAUGGUUUGGGAAGAAACCUAAGCUGUCGUUUCUAAAAGUUUGGGGAUGCGAUGCUUAUGUCAAGAAACUUCAACCUGAAAAGCUCGAACCCAAGUCGGAUAAAUGCGUCUUCAUAGGAUACCCUAAGGAAACCAUUGGGUAUACCUUCUACCUCAGAUCCGAAGGCAAGAUCUUUGUUGCUAAGAACGGAUCCUUUCUAGAGAAAGAGUUUCUCUCGAAAGAAGUAAGUGGGAGGAAGGUAGAGCUUGAUGAAGUACUGCCUCUCGAAGCGGAAAGUAGCGCAGCUCAGGAAAAUGUUCCUGUGGUGCAUGCACCGACUAGAGAGGAAGUUAAU